rnacentral:misc_RNA from 1 species
CUUGUUGAUGUUCUCCCACUUCUCCUUGCACCUCUUCGAGCUGCGGUUGUAGCCGAGCCGCUGCAUACCCAAGGAGAUCUCCUCCCAGAGGGGGCCCUUCGGGCCAGCUUCCUGGUACCGUGGCUCGAGCCCGCUGCGGAGCUUGAUCAGUGCGUGGACCUCGGACUUGGGCCACCGGGACGGCGUCACCCCUGGCUCGAAAGCCCCUCUCGGUGUCGUCGCCACCGCUAACUCCUGUUGCUCGGGUACUGGGACCAGCUCAGUGCAGGAUGAUGAUGGUAGGUUUCUUACUACUACUGUCUCGGAAGUCUGGUGGGCGUGGUGCAGCUCAUGUGGUGGUGGCUGCUGCGGUGGUGGCUGCGGUGGAGG